GAAUGGCUCCACUCCUGUCACUCAACACAGCUCAAUAUAGGCUCCACGCCAACUCAGCUCUCCAUUUGGCUCACUGACUCCAGAAUUCAAUGUAACUGUGUGCCUCCAAGUGAGUAGAAGCAGCAGGACUUCAGACGGCUCAGCAAGUCACAGCGGGACCCUGGAAGCUGAGGAGCAUCUGCCACUUGUGAUGUGGGGACUUAGUGUGGAAGGCCAAUCUAGGAAUGGAGGAAUCAUCUACCUAGGGCUGGAUCUAACAGAAGCCAUCCCCUCCCACAUGGAGACAGAUAGCAAAUGCCAACCAAAUGGUGCUCAG
rnacentral:lncRNA from 1 species